AUUGAACGCUGGCGGCAGGCCUAACACAUGCAAGUCGAGCGGAUGAAGGGAGCUUGCUCCUGGAUUCAGCGGCGGACGGGUGAGUAAUGCCUAGGAAUCUGCCUGGUAGUGGGGGAUAACGUCCGGAAACGGGCGCUAAUACCGCAUACGUCCUGAGGGAGAAAGUGGGGGAUCUUCGGACCUCACGCUAUCAGAUGAUCCUAGGUCGGAUUAGCUAGUUGGUGGGGUAAAGGCCUACCAAGGCGACGAUCCGUAACUGGUCUGAGAGGAUGAUCAGUCACACUGGAACUGAGACACGGUCCAGACUCCUACGGGAGGCAGCAGUGGGGAAUAUUGGAAGAUGGGCGAAAGCCUGAUCAAGCCAUGCCGCGUGUGUGAAGAAGGGCUGCGGAUUGUAAAGCACUUUAAGUUGGGAGGAAGGGCAGUAAGUUAAUACCUUGCUGUUUUGACGUUACCAACAGAAUAAGCACCGGCUAACUUCGUG
rnacentral:rRNA from 1 species